rnacentral:lncRNA from 1 species
CCGCCGGCCCCGCAGACCUCCCCACGCGCGGCUCGGGCCCCGGGCGCCGCGCGGGGUUGGCUCAGAGCCAAAGUCGCGUUCCCCGCUGCCCCCUCUCCCGGCUUCUGUCUUCUUGCUGGCCGGCCGCGGGGUCUCUGUAAGGCUCCGCCUGACUGCCCCGGGCUUCCCCUUGCUGCGGGGAGGACGGCGGCGCUUCCGGGAGGGCCGUGACCGCGGGGCGGGCCUGGCGCCCGGGGCCGCGGCUUCUCCCCCGCCGGCGCGCACCGCCCACUUGCGGGAGCCUUUCCUCCGGCUGCCGCGCCCUCGCCGCGCGCCUUCCAGGGCCGGUUCUCCCCAUCCCGGCUGCGUCAGGCUUUAUCGAAAAUGCGUCUUUGCUCGCCUCUCCUGCCUACGGAGUGGGCCGUGCGCUCCACGCUCUAUGAAGUCAUUACUCCCAGUCGUUACUAAGCUGCUCCCCCUGUGGCCCUAUGAAAGAUUCUCUCUGGGCCGGAGGCCCUGUUACCCUCAUUUUUGUGACCUGGAACGUGCAGAGGCUCCAUACACCCCGGGGAGACGGAGGGGAGAGAGUGAUCCCGCCUCCCACCCUUUUGGGGGACCUCACGAGUAUCCUCUGUUUGCUGUUUCAUUAUGCAAAACGCGGUCUCGUUUCGACAAGCUCGAUAGAAGCUUUCACGUUUUCAGAUUCUUCCUGGGCCCUGCCUGGCACAAGAGGUAUUGCUUAAGAAGGAGGCUCAUUUAA